GUUUUUUAAUUGAAAACUUGUAUGAAUGGUUAAACGAAAUAUAAUCUGUUUCAAAAAAAAAUAAUAAAAAUUAAUUUUUUAGUAAAAAAGCUAAAAUAUAAUUAAAAGACGAGAAGACCCUAUAGAAUUUUAUAAAAAUUUUUAUUAUAAUUUAUUUAUAAUUUUUUAAAUUUUAAAAUUGUUUUUAUUUUGUUGGGGUGAUAAUAAAAAUUUUAAUCUUUUAUUAAUUUUUUACAAUGAUUUUUGAUUUAUUGAUCCAUUAUUUAUGAUUAAAAGAUUAAAUUACCUUAGGGAUAACAGCGUAAUUUUUUUGUAAAGUUCAUAUUAAUAAAAAAUUUUGC
rnacentral:rRNA from 1 species